rnacentral:rRNA from 1 species
GACGAACGCUGGCGGCGUGCUUAACACAUGCAAGUCGAACGGAAAGGCCCUGCUUUUGUGGGGUGCUCGAGUGGCGAACGGGUGAGUAACACGUGAGUAACCUGCCCUUGACUUUGGGAUAACUUCAGGAAACUGGGGCUAAUACCGUAUAGGAGCUCCUGCUGCAUGGUGGGGGUUGGAAAGUUUCGGCGGUUGGGGAUGGACUCGCGGCUUAUCAGCUUGUUGGUGGGGUAGUUGCUUACCAAGGCUUUGGCGGGUAGGCGGCCUGAGAAGGUGACCGGGCACAAUGGGACUGAGAGACGGACCAGACUCGAAUGGGGGGCAGUGGUGGGGAGUAUGGCACAAUGGGCCGGAGUCUGAGGCAGCAACGCCGCGUGCGUGAAGACGUCCUUCGGGUUGUAAAACGCUUUCGCCUGUGACGAAGCGUGAGUGACGGUACUGGGUGAAGAAGCACCGGCUAACUACGUG